GUUUAGUUUUCAAAUUGUAAUUAAAAAAUUUUCUUGAUCGAAGAAAAAAAUUUUCUUGCUCCAAUAAAUUUCUUCUACACAAAAAAAAGGAUUUUUUGGCAGGAAAAUUUUUACUCGCCCCAAGAAAAUGUUUUUCUUGAUCAAGAAAAUUUUUUAUCGCCCUAAGAAAAGUUUCGCUUUAAAUUCUUAUACAAAAAUUUUCUUGGGGCGCGUAAAAAUUUUGUGCCAAGAAAUCCUUUUUUUCUGUAGACUCAACACUAAUAAUAAUUACGAUAGUGAUAAUAAUGAUGAUGAUGAUGAUGAUGGUGAUGGCUAAUAAGUAUUUAAUCAGAAUUAAAAAUGAAAAAUAAUAAUCAUGAGUAUAAUGACAAUAAUUUAUGUUUAAAUAGAGCUAGAGCUAGAGCUGCGUCAAUGUCACUUAAAAAAUUACUCAAUAAAAAUUAAAUAUGAUAUACACCGUGUACGUGUUAUGUCUUAAGAUAGGCCUCUGAUAGCACACGUGAUCAUCUAAAAAAACACCUGUACAUAUGUAACUUUAUUUUUUAUUGUACAAGAAGAGAACUAAACUUUUAAAAGUUGUGACGCGUCGUCAUACAUUUCAUUUCACAAGUUGCCACAUGCUCAUAUACAUUUAUAUAUAUGUAAUAUUCAAUAAAUAAUAUAUAAUUUUUGCGUAUAUGUAAACAUAUUAAUAAAUAAUUACAACAAAAAAAAAUUUAUAUUUUUAAAUUUGAAUGCUGUAUUGUGCAAAGUGAAGUUUUACCGCAAUAUUUAAAAUUUUUACGGAAUGACAAUUGAGUGGAACUAAUUCAAUAAAUAUAUGAUAUAUUUGAAAAAAGGACCGAGGGCGCAUGAAUAACCGGCUAAGAAUGGACCCGCAUAAGGGCUCGGAAUAAUAAAUUGAUAAAUUUUUACUACAUAUACCACUAUCGUACAGUAAAUAUAUAUUCUUAGAUAAAAACUGGCAAUGUUUGCAAGAAAUAAUAAUUUAGUAACAAAUGAG